rnacentral:rRNA from 1 species
UACAGAGUGGGCAAGCGUUGUUCGGAAUUACUGGGCGUAAAGCGUGCGUAGGUGGUUUCUUAAGUCUGCUGUGAAAGCCCUGGGCUCAACCUGGGAAUGGCGGUGGAUACUGAGGAGCUAGAGUGCGGUAGAGGAGGGUGGAAUUCCCGGUGUAGCGGUGAAAUGCGUAGAGAUCGGGAGGAACAUCAGUGGCGAAGGCGGCCCUCUGGACCAGCACUGACGCUGAGGCACGAAAGCGUGGGGAGCAAACAGG